AUCACAGCAGAUACAGAGGACUGGGAAAACGAGGGCCUCUUGGAGAUUUUAGAACACCUUGAAAGAUUGCAGAACUCAGAGGUUCCUAUGGCGUCCCAGCAAACAAAACAGACCAUGAAACAUGAAGAAAUCACGUAAUUAGUUCAUGUUUGUAUAGGGCUUUGAGCAGGCAAAUUUCCAGAAGAAUGGCUGCUUUUAAUAACUCAUCACGGAGCACGAAGGCAUUAGAGGUUAUGGAAUGAGAGCCUCCCAACAACAUCAAUAAAGGGAAAAGAUCCAAGAAGCAGCAUCGGAGGACUUCAUGGCAGAGAAGCUAAGCAUGAACAUCACUCCACACUGAUUGUUGCUCUAGGUGCUGGCAGCUGUGCACCAAUGGUAUGCUGUGAGGAGGAAACAAGGUAUGCAUUUUUUAUUCAUUUAAUUUUCCUGGCAUAAGUAA